GAUAGUACCUUUACCUGGAUAACCGUGGUAAUUCUAGAGCUAAUACAUGCUAAAAACCUCGACUUCGGAAGGGGUGUAUUUAUUAGAUAAAAAACCAAUGCCCUCCGGGGCUCCCUGGUGAUUCAUAAUAACUCAACGAAUCGCAUGGCCUUGCGCCGGCGAUGGUUCAUUCAAAUUUCUGCCCUAUCAACUUUCGAUGGUAGGAUAGUGGCCUACCAUGGUCUUUACGGGUAUCGGGGAAUCAGGGUUCUAUUCCGGAGAGGGAGCCUGAGAAACGGCUACCACAUCCAAGGAAGGCAGCAGGCGCGCAAAUUACCCAAUCCCGACACGGGGAGGUAGUGACAAUAAAUACUGAUACAGGGGUCUUUUGGCUCGUGUAAUUGGAAUGAGUACAAUCUAAAUCCCUUAACGAGGAACAAUUGGAGGGCAAGUCUGGUGCCAGCAGCCGCGGUAAUUCCAGCUCCAAUAGCGUAUAUUAAAGUUGUUGCCGUUAAAAAGCUCGUAGUUGAACCUUGGGCCUGGCUGAUCUGUCCUCCUAAUCGAGCGCACGGAUUCGGUCGGGCCUUUCCUUCUGGGGAGCCCG
rnacentral:rRNA from 1 species